GUCCCGGUGUCUCAGUCGGUAGAGCACCUGUACGAGGUAAGCGAACUGCCAGGAGGUCGCAGGAUCAAAGCCUGCCAGGGUUU